UUUUUAACCCGUGAAGUUUUUAUGCUUUUCGCUGAUGCUUUUUGUUUGUUUGUGCAACAGAUGAUAGUGAAAAUGCUACCAUGCACUGCCUUUUUUAUUAUGUUGUCAACUUGCAAGUGAGAUGUUGAUCAAAUUGCUACUGUAACCCUGGCAGAUAAGUUUAUUUUUUGAAAUGCUAAACCACUAAAUCACCUUCCCUGAACCAAAAUCUCAGUGCCCUGAACUAAUUUAUUGAAUCAGCCACUCUUUUGGCAAAACCUUAAAUGGUUUUCACCUUGUUAGACACAAUCUGCAGAUCUCAUUUAACCUCUCUUAACACAUUCUCACUUUCUAAAACUCAUUUUGCACAGUGAUUCACUUGUGAUUCGCAGUGGUAACCACAGGAGGCAGAAGUUAAACAUAACUCCAGCACAGGUGUAACUUCUUAAUCCCAGCGACUCAAAAUUGCUCACACUUGAUGCUAAUAAUGUGAUAAAGCUGAUAAAGUAUUAGCCAGUUCAGAGUGCACAGCCGGCAAGAGUGUGCUGAAGGGUGAUACCAACAAAAGACAGAAACAAUGUGACAGGCAGAGGAGGAAAAUGAGAAAGAGCAACAUCAGGAACAGAAAUGAUCCUGUUGAUGGACCAUAUUUUUCAACAUGGGAUGACAGCUCAUGAGACACGAAACUGAAGAAUUGUACAGGAUGAGAUGUUUUUUUUUUACGUGUGACUGUCAUUCCCAUGCUGCAUAUUUUUUACUUGGUUUAUAGUUAUAGAUGUUUUUUCUUUUAAAAAAUAUGCUGCUUUUUCACUCGUUUUCAGUCCAGUCCUUGUAUCUGAACAUUUUCACAGGACUGAGUUGUUUUUUUCUUGGUGGUUAUUCAAGUAUAAUAAACACACUUAAAUCAAUGAUGAGUUAAGAAAGAGUUUAGACAUAACAGACAACUUAGCAAAGAACCAGUUUUAAAUUGUAUCGUUAGGCACUGUUACUAGCAGCGUGUUGCAAAAACACAUCAUUUGUUCCCAUUUCUUUAGUUGAACGUCUAAAAAAGUGCCAAUAUAACACACACAAAAACUCUGCGUAUCUCUGCAUGAUGUGUCUUCUGAAAGCAAUGUACUUAAAGAGAACCUGACUGAAAAUCAGAGGCAACAGGUAUUUUGGGUUGAUUAAAUGUACAACUGUGUCUAAAGCUAUCCAUAAAACAUGGUUCAAGGGUGCACUUCAGCUGGUGGCAGAAAAGUACAAUCAGAUUUUGAUCAACUGUGCAAUACCACCUGGAAAGAAACUGAUUGGGAUCGUUGUCAUGUUGUAAAAUGAAGCCAAACACACUGCCAAUACAGUAAAAUUGUCAAGGUCCCCAUGCCUCGCCAGCUGACCCCGUGUUAAGCAACAUGUUUUGUUUUCUGCUCUCUUUCUCUCUCCUCUGCCGGGGCGGUGCUCAUUACGGGCUCCCGCCCCUCACCCACACCUGCUGCUGAUCUCCACUAAUCCUGAGGCCUACUUAAGACAGCAGCGCUUCACUACUCAUCGCUGGAUCGUUGAGCAAUCUGCAUCUUUCCUGGACCCUUACCUGCCUACCUGAAAUCCUGCGCGCGUGUGUGUGGAAGCAUGAGAGCCAUCUGAGGAGAGUGGAGUCUGUUUGAUCCCUUCCUUUUCACCCCACAGACCCUGGAGCCCUGGACCCCCUCUACCACAUUGUAUAUAUAAUCACUUGGUGUUGUCACUGUAAAUUUCUGCAAGGAUCCCUAGUCUGCCCCUGAGUCUGCUUAAGAACUGUGACAAAACUCAUGGAUAGAAAAAACACACAGUGGGAUACAAUCAGUCAUGGAUUGGCCUCCCCCAGAGCCCACACAUCAUCAUUAUUGUAGCAGUGUGGGAGCUUUUAAUGUCCUUAAACUACUUAUAGAAGUUAAAAUAACAAUUUCCUAAGAGAGUUCAGACUGUGUUCAAGAAUAAAGGAGGUCAUAACAAACAUUGACUUUUAAGCUAAUUAGAACAGUACAAACUGUUUACUUUUUAUACUGUAUUUACAUUUAUGGCUUCAUUUUGUUGCAAAACGUAAAGAAGUUAGGUGUAUUUCAUGACUUUUCCGCACUCCUGUAAUACAUAUAAACCAAUUUUCUGUUUGUAUUCCUUAUGUGAAUGAGAGCAGAAAGACAAAGUGAACAACCCAGUCUCAGCAGAGCCCCUGUUGCCACCACAGUCUUGAAUCUUUUCUGAAUACUGAUCACUUUGUAAAUAUAAUGGAGAAUGGAGGGAAGGCGUGGCGGCGCUUUAUGCUUUUGUCAUUUUUGCUGAAUUACAAGACUGCCUCGUGAGGUUGGAAAGACUUCAGUAACAUGUCCUGAACACUGUGUUUUUGGCACGCUGAUGUUUUGUGGAACGGCUGCUCGGUAGCGUUAAUAUUUUUGACGAGCUGUGUGUGUAAUCUGAAAACAUUGUGUGGUUUUGGGCACAGAUAAAACUGCUUUGAUGCAUCUGUGAGGUUUUGCCAGGAGACUCGGGGGUUUUGUGAAUGAAAACUGAGUGAUGUGAGUUUUUAGACAAGACUGGAAAGCUUUAAGAAAUAUAUUUUAGCAAUUGGGAAAAACUGCAACAAAACUGUUUUUCUGUUGCACGCUUGCCCUGCCAUUGAUAUUUCAUUUAGGCCUACGUCCCCUAUGCCACAGACUGGCUCUUUUUUUGUGUUUAGUUUUCCAUUCUCUGCAGGCUUAAAUAAAGUGGUUUGUAAAACUGUCAUGUCGGUGUUGCCACCUUUUAGAAUGAGAUCAAACCCAUGCAAUGCAAAAUCUGUUUUUUUGCACUUAAGGCUAUUUCAACACAAUCCAAUUUUAGUUGUGUGGCCCAAAAGAAUCGCAAGUUUGUCUGAGAGGGCUUUACAAUAUGUGCAAAAUGUGACACCCUCUUUAGAUUUUCAAUUCAGAAUAGGACAGAAAAAAGACUUUAAUGGAGGAAAAAAGGGAGAUACUGCAGAAAGAGCAAAAGACACAUAGAGAGACAGACAUUACAUUAUAUGUGCAGACAAAAUGGAAAGAGGCAGAAUUAUAAUAUAAGGAAAUAUGAAUGCUGUUGCCUCCUCUGUCGCUUUAAACCCUUGAAAGAAAAUGAUUUACACAAACACAAGGGAAGCAAAACUCAAAGACAACAUCCACACUGAGGAAAAGGUGAGAAGAGAUCAAGGAGAGAAUUUACAGCCCAUAAGGCCAAAUGCAUACAUUAUGAACACUCAGAAAAGAAGAAAAAAACCUCACUGCUUCUUUAUUCUUCCUAUCAAAAGCAGAAAAGGAGCUCCCUACCUUUAUAUUUUUAUUGCCUUUCUGAGUCCUUUAAACUAAUCUCAGAAUCCAUGGUCUAUUAACCUGCAGAAUUCACAUACAUGCACAUGUUUUUCUGAGGAGAGUGUAUGUGAAUGUUCUGCUCUGUGCUUCUUUUAUCUUCAUUAUUCUACUUUUUUCUUACCUUUUCUUCUCUUAGUCUACCUUAUAGACUAAAAAAUAUUAAUGUCAUAAAUAUAAACACAAGGCAUCAAGAAAAACUUUACUGCAACACAUCCAUUCACCAAAUUUGACUUUUCAAAGUACAUACAUACCUGGACUCAAAAUAGCAGCAUUAUUUUUCACAGUUGCCAUGCAAACUUUCCAAUUCAAGUAAUGAAACAGAGUGUGUUUGACACAAACUCUCCUCGCUCGGGCUUUCUACACAUCAGUCGUCUCUCCGGAGUAAAACUGUGGGAGGGGAAUUAUAAUCAGUGGGGUACAAAAUUAAAGCGGUGGAUUAAAACCAAAUUACUUCCUUAAACAAAAUAGGUAACUAUACCAGCAGCAGGUGGGCUCGCUCGCAUUAAAAAAAACACACAGAUUAAGACACUUGCACGCACACAGUCGCAUGAUAGCCCUGCUAGUAAUCAAGAUUUGAUUCCCUAAAACCAAAGAAUACCCACCGCAAAAUGAUUAAGCAACCAGAAAUGCAGCGCUCAUGUGGAGCAUGGAAAAUUGCUUUAUUCACACGUACCGUAUGCAUUACACCUGGGGAGGUGUGGGCACUAAAGCAGCGCAGCACAUUACAUUGAAUUCGCUAUUAUACAGUCAGUAUGGCUUUGCAAAGGAUAAUAAUUGUGUGAGCGAGAGGGCGGCUGUCCGAAGUGCUAAUUUCACUGGAGCCAGAGGUCUGAAUCAUCGGCAGCCUUCUCAGUGACAAAGACGUCCCCCCUCAAGCACUGCAGCUCGCAAGAGGACACAAACAAGCGUCUCCUAUCCACACCUAAAUGUGACAGAUGAAAACGUACAUCCAACAAGCCUUGGAGGGGAACGCCUGCUUUCAUCCAACCAUCCGAGAUGUUCUGUAUUCUCUCCAGAAUUUCUCUGCCAUGUAGAUCGCCUAAAACCCUAUCAAAUAAUAUAAAUAAAAUAUGAGCGGUAAACUCUAUCAAUUUGUUAUUGUCAUGGAUGUCUAGAGAGCAGUCUGUUUCUGUUUUGUUUCUGCUUUACCUCCGGCUAUAA